rnacentral:rRNA from 1 species
UACAGAGGAGCCAAGCGUUGUCCGGAUUGACUGGGCGUAAAGCGCACGCAGGCGGACGCGCGCGUGGGGUGUGAAAUCUGGCCGCUUAACGGCCAGGCGCCAUCCCAUACGGCGCGUCUGGAGUGAUGCAGAGGUCGAUGGAAUUGCCGGUGUAGUGGUGAAAUGCGUAGAGAUCGGGAGGAACACCAGAGGCGAAGGCGGCGACCUGGACAGUUACUGACACUCAACUGCGAAAGCGUGGGGAGCAAACAGG